rnacentral:rRNA from 1 species
AUUGAACGCUGGCGGCAUGCUUUACACAUGCAAGUCGAACGGUAACAGGGAGCUUGCUCCGCUGACGAGUGGCGAACGGGUGAGUAAUACGUCGGAACGUGCCGAGUAGUGGGGGAUAACGCAUCGAAAGGUGUGCUAAUACCGCAUACGUACUGAGGUAGAAAGUGGGGGACCUUCGGGCCUCACGCUAUUCGAGCGGCCGACGUCUGAUUAGCUAGUUGGUGAGGUAAAGGCUCACCAAGGCGACGAUCAGUAGCGGGGCUGAGAGGAUGGUCCGCCACACUGGGACGUAGACACGGCCCAGACGCCUACGGGAGGCAGCAGUGGGGAAUUUUGGACAAUGGGCGCAAGCCUGAUCCAGCCAUGCCGCGUGUCUGAAGAAGGCCUUCGGGUUGUAAAGGACUUUUGUCCGGGAGCAAAUGCCUGGUGUUAAUAGCAUCGGGAGCUGAGAGUACCGGAAGAAUAAGCACCGGCUAACUACGUGCCAGCCGCCGCCGUAAGAC